rnacentral:lncRNA from 1 species
CCUGCAUCUUUUAUGACACGUACCAACUUUCAGCGUUCACUAGAGACGGUAGAUAGGAUAUAACUUGAAUCAUCAUAUGCUCUUACUAAAAAUGGCGUUGAUAGUUCAUCAAAGGAUGAGACGAACAAAAGCUUUUAACUGAUUAAUGUUGACAGAAAUGAACAAAACCAUCAGAAAUCUGAGACGGCAUCUACCCCAAGACAACCUGCACAAAUGAAACCUGAACUGAAAUAAACAUUAAUGAUGAUAUCAUCAGUAAGAAUAAUGCUUCUCCAGGAAGGCAAGCUAUCUUUCUUCCUAUGGGAAUGUUCCCUAAGUAUCUGCAUCAACAACUGUAGACAUCUCAUGCUUUAG